CGCUGGCGGCAGGCCUAACACAUGCAAGUCGGACGGUAGCACAGAGAGCUUGCUCUUGGGUGACGAGUGGCGGACGGGUGAGUAAUGUCUGGGGAUCUGCCCGAUAGAGGGGGAUAACCACUGGAAACGGUGGCUAAUACCGCAUAACGUCGCAAGACCAAAGAGGGGGACCUUCGGGCCUCUCACUAUCGGAUGAACCCAGAUGGGAUUAGCUGGUAGGCGGGGUAAUGGCCCACCUAGGCGACGAUCCCUAGCUGGUCUGAGAGGAUGACCAGCCACACUGGAACUGAGACACGGUCCAGACUCCUACGGGAGGCAGCAGUGGGGAAUAUUGCACAAUGGGCGCAAGCCUGAUGCAGCCAUGCCGCGUGUAUGAAGAAGGCCUUCGGGUUGUAAAGUACUUUCAGCGGGGAGGAAGGCGAUGUGGUUAAUAACCGCAUCGAUUGACGUUACCCGCAGAAGAAGCACCGGCU
rnacentral:rRNA from 1 species